rnacentral:rRNA from 1 species
UACAGGGGGUGCAAACGUUGCUCGGAAUCAUUGGGCGUAAAGCGCACGUAGGCGGUCUGUUAUGUCGGAUGUGAAAGCCCUUGGCUCAACUGAGGAAGUGCAUCCGAAACUGGCAGGCUAGAGUACUAAAGAGGAUCGCGGAAUUCCCGGUGUAGAGGUGAAAUUCGUAGAUAUCGGGAGGAACACCGGUGGCGAAGGCGGCGAUCUGGGUAGAUACUGACGCUGAGGUGCGAAAGCGUGGGGAGCGAACAGG